rnacentral:rRNA from 1 species
GCGGUAACAGAUCCAGCUUGCUGGAUGCUGACGAGCGGCGGACGGGUGAGUAAUGCAUAGGAAUUUACCCGAUAGUGGGGGAUAACCUGGGGAAACUCAGGCUAAUACCGCAUACGUCCUACGGGAGAAAGGGGGCUUCGGCUCACGCUAUCGGAUGAGCCUAUGCCGGAUUAGCUAGUUGGUGAGGUAAUGGCUCACCAAGGCGACGAUCCGUAGCUGGUCUGAGAGGAUGAUCAGCCACAUCGGGACUGAGACACGGCCCGAACUCCUACGGGAGGCAGCAGUGGGGAAUAUUGGACAAUGGGGGCAACCCUGAUCCAGCCAUGCCGCGUGUGUGAAGAAGGCCCUCGGGUUGUAAAGCACUUUCAGUGAGGAAGAACGCCUGAUGGUUAAUACCCGUCAGGAAAGACAUCACUCACAGAAGAAGCACCGGCUAACUCCGUGCCAGCAGCCGCGGUAAUACGGAGGGUGCAAGCGUUAAUCGGAAUUACUGGGCGUAAAGCGCGCGUAGGUGGCUUGAUAAGCCGGUUGUGAAAGCCCCGGGCUCAACCUGGGAACGGCAUCCGGAACUGUCAGGCUAGAGUGCAGGAGAGGAAGGUAGAAUUCCCGGUGUAGCGGUGAAAUGCGUAGAGAUCGGGAGGAAUACCAGUGGCGAAGGCGGCCUUCUGGACUGACA